GCAAACUCGCGAGAGCUAGCAAAUCCCAUAAACCGUGGCUCAGUUCAGAUCGUAGGCUGCAACUCGCNUACGUGAAGUAGGAAUCGCUAGUAAUCGCAGGUCAGCAUACUGCGGUGAAUACGUUCCCGGGCCUUGUACACACCGCCCGUCACACCAUGGAAGUUGGCCAUGCCCGAAGUCGUUACUCCAACCCUUGUGGAGGAGGACGCCGAAGGUGGGGCUAAUGACUGGGGUGAAGUCGUAACAAGGUAGCCGUACCGGAAGGUGCGGCUGGAUCACCUCCUAACAGGGAGACAACAAAAUGUUUAAUAUUAUUAUUUUGUCACCUUAGGUCGAUCGGUAUCUCACGUUCUUAAUUUAUUAAGAAUUUCAUUUCCUAAGUUUUUCUAGGUCACACCCAUUAUUUUUCCUGGGUCAUUAGCUCAGGUGGUUAGAGCGCACCCCUGAUAAGGGUGAGGUCCCUGGUUCAAGUCCAGGAUGGCCCAUAUCUCUAUGUUGGGGGUAUAGCUCAGUUGGUAGAGCGCCUGCUUUGCAAGCAGGAUGUCAGCGGUUCGAGUCCGCUUACCUCCACUGAUUACCACCUCUUCCAUAACCGGUAGAAAGGAAAUGUUUUGAGUUGUGAUCAUUAUUCUGAACGAAUCUAGCUUCCUAAUGAAAUCAUUAAGAUGCUGGACUCAUUGAAUUAAUUUCAUUGUUUUCAGAGAACCUUGACAACUGCAUAGAUUAUUUUUAAAGACAAUAAGCAUCUUUAAUGAUGCAGAUUUAUUAUUUGUGCGAAUGCAUUAAUAACAAUUCUAUUGAGCUGAUGCUUCAAUUUUUGAAGUUAUUGGUCAAGCUACAAAGGGCUCACGGAGGAUACCUAGGCACACAGAGGCGAUGAAGGACGUGGUUACCUGCGAUAAGUCUCGGGGAGUG
rnacentral:misc_RNA from 1 species